GAUGAACGCUGGCGGCGUGCCUAAUACAUGCAAGUCGAGCGAACGGACGAGAAGCUUGCUUCUCUGAUGUUAGCGGCGGACGGGUGAGUAACACGUGGAUAACCUACCUAUAAGACUGGGAUAACUUCGGGAAACCGGAGCUAAUACCGGAUGAUAUUUUGAACCGCAUGGUUCAAAAGUGAAAGACGGUCUUGCUGUCACUUAUAGAUGGAUCCGCGCUGCAUUAGCUAGUUGGUAAGGUAACGGCUUACCAAGGCAACGAUGCAUAGCCGACCUGAGAGGGGGAACGGCCACACCGGAAAUGAGACAAGGGCCAGAAUCCCAAGGGAGGCAGCAGGAGGGAAACUUUCGGAAUGGGCGAAAGCCUGACGGAGCAACGCCGCGUGAGUGAUGAAGGUCUUCGGAUCGUAAAACUCUGUUAUUAGGGAAGAACAUAUGUGUAAGUAACUGUGCACAUCUUGACGGUACCUAAUCAGAAAGCCACGGCUAACUACGUG
rnacentral:rRNA from 1 species